rnacentral:rRNA from 1 species
UAAAGCAGCCAUAUCACCCUGCAGCCCAAGACUGGUUGCCCACUGAAGCUAAGCAGGGUUGAGCCUGGUCAGUACCUGGAUGGGUGACCUCCUGGGAAAACUAGGUUGCUGCUGGAA